rnacentral:rRNA from 1 species
UGAAAGCCCAGGGCUCAACCCCGUUACUGCAUUUGAUACUGGCAAACUAGAGUAUGGUAGAGGAAUGGGGAAUUUCUGGUGUAGCGGUGAAAUGCGUAGAGAUCAGAAGGAACACCAAUGGCGAAGGCAACAUUCUGGACCAAUACUGACACUGAGGGACGAAAGCGUGGGGAUCAAACAGGAUUAGAUACCCUGGUAGUCCACGCUGUAAACGAUGAGUACUAGCUGUUGGAUUCGGUGUAAAGGAUCUAGUGGCGUAGCUAACGCGUUAAGUACUCCGCCUGGGGACUACGGCCGCAAGGCUAAAACUCAAAGGAAUUGACGGGGACCCGCACAAGCGGUGGAGCAUGUGGUUUAAUUCGAUGCAACGCGAAGAACCUUACCUGGUCUUGACAUCCUGCGAACUUUCUAGAGAUAGAUUGGUGCCUUCGGGAACGCAGUGACAGGUGCUGCACGGCUGUCGUCAGCUCGUGUUGUGAAAUGUUGGGUUAAGUCCCGCAACGAGCGCAACCCCUAUUGAUAGUUACCAUCAUUAAGUUGGGUACUCUAUUGAGACUGCCGCUGACAAGGCGGAGGAAGGUGGGGACGACGUCAAGUCAUCAUGGCCCUUACGACCAGGGCUACACACGUGCUACAAUGGGUAUUACAGAGGGCAGCGAAGUAGCGAUAUGGAGCGAAACUCAGAAAGGUACUCUUAGUCCGGAUUGCAGUCUGCAACUCGACUGCAUGAAGUCGGAAUCGCUAGUAAUCGCGGGUCAGAAUACUGCGGUGAAUACGUUCCCGGGU